GUACACUCUGCGGGAGGCAGCAGUGGGGAAUUUUGGACAAUGGGCGAAAGCCUGAUCCAGCAAUGCCGCGUGCAGGAUGAAGGCCUUCGGGUUGUAAACUGCUUUUGUACGGAACGAAAAAGCUCCUUCUAAUACAGGGGGCCCAUGACGGUACCGUAAGAAUAAGCACCGGCUAACUACGUGCCAGCAGCCGCGGUAAUACGUAGGGUGCGAGCGUUAAUCGGAAUUACUGGGCGUAAAGCGUGCGCAGGCGGUUAUGUAAGACAGAUGUGAAAUCCCCGGGCUCAACCUGGGAACUGCAUUUGUGACUGCAUGGCUAGAGUACGGUAGAGGGGGAUGGAAUUCCGCGUGUAGUAGUGAAAUGCGUAGAUAUGCGGAGGAACACCGAUGGCGAAGGCAAUCCCCUGGACCUGUACUGACGCUCAUGCACGAAAGCGUGGGGAGCAAACAGGAUUAGAUACCCCAGUAGUCCCAUG
rnacentral:rRNA from 1 species